rnacentral:tRNA from 1 species
GCGGUUGUAGCUCAGUUGGUUAGAGCGCAGGUUUGUGGUUCCUGAGGUCGUGGGUUCGAUCCCCACCAAUCGCC